GGCUUCAUCCACCCUCUGACUAGCAGAUAAACAUCUGGGCUCAGAAGGCAACAGAAGCAGCCAUGGAUCCUCUCUCAGAACUGCAAGAUGACCUGACCCUGGAUGAUACCAGCCAAGCCCUGAACCAGUUGAAGCUGGCCUCUAUUGAUGAGAAGAACUGGCCUUCUGAUGAAAUGCCAGACUUUCCCAAGUCAGAUGACUCCAAAAGCAGCUCUCCAGAACCUGUCACACACCUGAAGUGGGAUGACCCUUACUACGACAUUGCCAGGCACCAGAUUGUGGAAGUGGCAGGUGAUGAUAAGUACGGGCGGAAGAUAAUUGUAUUUAGUGCUUGCCGGAUGCCCCCCAGCCACCAGCUGGACCACAGCAAGCUCUUGGGGUACUUGAAACACACACUGGACCAGUAUGUGGAAAGUGACUACACACUCCUGUACCUGCACCAUGGCCUGACC
rnacentral:lncRNA from 1 species